rnacentral:tRNA from 1 species
CACAGUGUAGCUUAUUCUAAAGCAUCUGGCCUACACCCAGAAGAAUUCAUUAUAUACAUGAACACUUUGA